rnacentral:lncRNA from 1 species
GAAAAACUAGUGCACAAAUUUAUUUUAAUAAGCUGGAUAUGCAGCAUAAAUAUUUAUCAUUAUAUUUUUUAUUUAUUUAUUUUUAUCUGUUCUGAUGUCGUCUACUUUCCUACCUGGAAGAGGAGCUGAGUGAGCAAGGGCAGCCUGAAUGCCUCAAACUCCUGGGGAAUUUUCUCUCUUGGAAGCCAGUGGCAGCUUUACAUCUUUGUGUUAAUGUGUGACCAGGAAUAUGCCAAUUUGAUUCACUGCUCUGGAAAUACAGGCAGAAAUGUCAGUAAGAAAUUGGCAGGGUUCUACAGCCGUGGUCUGGCUUUGCCAUUCAAAGUUUAUCAUUCUGCUGAGAAAGCCUUGAGGAUUCCCAAAGCAGUGAUGUGAAAAUCAAGUACUUGAUCCUUUCUUCCCUAUGCUGUGCCAAGAGAAAUCCCUUCCAAGCUGAUCUGCAGGACAGAUAUGGAACCAGCUGACUUAUGCUGCUGUUCUGCUGCCCUGUGACUGUCUGGAGAUGCUAAAUGGAAUCAUGGCACAUGGGAAAGAGUGGCACAAGAGGGUUUUCAGCACUUCUGGAAAUGAAGGUAUCACUGUGAUUCCUCUUACCUAACUGUAAUAAUAGCUGGGAAGAAUGCAAGGACCUUAAUUACCUAAUAUUAAUAAUACAAAUGCAUUUCUGUGCAACCGUGCUUUAAUCACUUUCACAAUAUUUAUC